rnacentral:rRNA from 1 species
CAUGUGUAGCGGUGAAAUGCGUAGAUAUAUGGAGGAACNCCGGUGGCGAAAGCGGCUCUCUGGUCUGUCACUGACGCUGAGGCUNGAAAGCGUGGGUAGCGAACAGGAUUAGAUACCCUGGUAGUCCACGCCGUAAACGCUGAGUGCUAGGUGUUAGGUCCUUUCCGGGACUUAGUGCCGACGCUAACGCAUUAAGCACUCCGCCUGGGGAGUACGACCGCAAGGUUGAAACUCAAAGGAAUUGACGGGGGCCCGCACAAGCGGUGGAGCACGUGGUUUAAUUCGAAGCAACGCGAAGAACCUUACCAGGUCUUGACAUCCCGAUGCCCGCUCUAGAGAUAGAGUUUUACUUUUUGUACAUCGGAGACAGGUGGUGCAUGGUUGUCGUCAGCUCGUGUCGUGAGAUGUUGGGUUAAGUCCCGCAACGAGCGCAACCCUUAUUGUUAGUUGCCAUCAUUAAGUUGGGCACUCUAGCGAGACUGCCGGUAAUAAACCGGAGGAAGGUGGGGAUGACGUCAAAUCAUCAUGCCCCUUAUGACCUGGGCUACACACGUGCUACAAUGGUUGGUACAACGAGUCGCAAGCCGGUGACGGCAAGCUAAUCUCUGAAAGCCAAUCUCAGUUCGGAUUGUAGGCUGCAGCUCGCCUACAUGAAGUCGGAAUCGCUAGUAAUCGCGGAUCAGCACGCCGCGGUGAAUACGUUCCCGGGCCUUGUACACACCGCCCGUCACACCACGAGAGUUUGUANCACCCAA